UCCCUGGUGGCUCAGAGAGUAGAGAAUCUACCUACAAUGCAGGAGACCUAGGUUCAAUCCCUGGGUAGGGAA
rfam:TPA: Bos taurus chromosome 4, whole genome shotgun sequence.